rnacentral:rRNA from 1 species
GAUGAACGCUGGCGGCGUGCCUAAUACAUGCAAGUCGAGCGAACAGAUGAGGAGCUUGCUCCUCUGACGUUAGCGGCGGACGGGUGAGUAACACGUGGAUAACCUACCUAUAAGACUGGGAUAACUUCGGGAAACCGGAGCUAAUACCGGAUAAUAUAUUGAACCGCAUGGUUCAAUAGUGAAAGACGGUUUUGCUGUCACUUAUAGAUGGAUCCGCGCCGCAUUAGCUAGUUGGUAAGGUAACGGCUUUCCAAGGCAACGAUGCGUAGCCGACGUGAGAGAGUGGUAGGCCACACGGGAAGGGAGACACGGUCAAGACGCCUAAGGGAGGGAGCAGUAGGGAAUCGUCCGCAAUGGGCGAAAGCAUGACGGAGCAAGGCCGAGUGAGUGAUGAAGGUGUUCGGAUCGUAAAACUCUGUUAUUAGGGAAGAACAAAUGUGGAAGUAGCUAUGCACGUCUUGACGGUACCUAAUCAGAAAGCAACGGCUAACUACGUG